GAGCAAGAGACUGAACUUUCACAGGAGCUGGCCUUAAAUUAUUGAACUCACUCUCUCUCAGAAAGGUCAGGAGCUGGCUUCAUCUGUCAUGCUUAAUCAGCUGAUGAAAACUCUACUGACGCCUGAGGAUGCUGCAGAGUGAAGAAAGAAGAUGGGAGUAUAUUUAAAUUGCCAAAAAUCCUGUUUCUCCCCUUCCCCCACCCGCUUUUAAAUUCUAAAU